UCGAAAUUAUAUAUAAAUAUUUAACUUAUUAUUAUAUUAAUGAAUAACAAUUUUUAAUGAAUUAAUUUUGGCCCUUGAUGGAUUUCAAUCCAAAGGCCAGAAAUUAAUGUUUUGUUAAUAUUUGUCUCUUUUUCUCAUUGGUCAAUCUCUCAAACACAAAGAUAGCUAUCUUAACCAUCGAUUAAUUUUGAUCCUAUAGCUAGCAAUCACAGAUCUCACAUCUCUUUCUCUUCUUCUUUCACGAUAUCUCUCUCUCUUUUUUCUUGGUUUCAGAUCUAAAACUAAUCUCUUCUAAUUCUUCUUUAAUCCUUUGAAUCUCUAUCUUCUUCAAUCAUCACCACAAAUACACGACUUCCCCACCGUCCCAGCAUCACAACCACCACCACAUGGCCUCCAUUUGUUCUCUGUCCCAACACCACCACCACCACCACACAUGACCUCCGUUCGUUCGCCGUCCCAGCAUCACCACCACCACCACACCUCCAUGGAAUAGAGGAGACAAGGCGAAGAAGCUAUUGUGUGGAGAUGUCAGAGGAAGCUCGUGGUGGAGGAGGUGGAGGUGGAUCCGGGAAAGAAGAAGAGAGACAGAGACGCGAGGAGGAGGCGAAGAAGAAUGGAGGAGGAAGACGACGGGAUGUACAGGGCGGCGAGAUGGUGGAGCGGCGGCUACAUAGGUUUAGUUAGUUAUCAAUUAGGUUUAAACUUGGUUUAGGUUUAAGCAUGGUUUAAGUUAUUGGUUUAUUUGGUUUAGUCUUUUUUCAUUUAAUUAGAUUUUUUAUAUUUUUGUAAACCAAUUUAAUUAUAAAUUAUUUUAUAUAAUAAAAAUUAAAUAUAUAAACGAGUUUAAAUUUUAA